rnacentral:lncRNA from 1 species
AGACAGGGUUUCACCAUGUUGGCCAGGCUGGUCUCGAACUCCUGAUCUUAGGUGAGCCGCCCGCCUCAGCCUCCCAAAGUGCUGGGAGUACAGGCGUGAGCCACUGUGCCCGUCCCCCAUCCUUUCUGUCUCUGAAUCUGAGGACUCUGGGGACCUCCUAGGAGUGGAUCACACAGGAUUUGUCCUUCUGUGCCUGGCGUCUGUCAUAGAGCACGACGUCUUCAAGGCGCAUCUGCACCGGGUCCUGCAUCAGAGCCUCGUUCCUGUUUGUGGCUGGGUCGUGUUCCAGUGCGUGGGUGGUCGCACCGUGUCUGUCAAUGGACGCUGGUUGUUUCCCCCGUUCGGAGUUGGGAAUCGUGCUGCUGUGAGCAAUUGUGGAUGUGUUUUUGUGUGGCCGUGUGUUCUCGAUUUGUUUGGAAGGGGAAGGGGUUACAGAUACAUGAAGGGGGGAACAGCCGGGAGUGGGGCUGGGGACUCACGGUGGGCAGAGGAGGCAGUAGCGGUGCCCAGGGGUCGAAUCCUGAAGGCCCAUGCAGGUGUCUCCAGGGAGGGGCUCGGUGUUGGAGGAGCCCCUGCCUUGGGGACCGGCAGAGCUGCCUGGGGACCCGCCCAUGUCAGAGGUGCUCCCUGAUUCCAAACUGCAUGGACGGCCCACGCCGGGCCCACUUGAGUGCCUC